GACGAACGCUGGCGGCGUGCUUAACACAUGCAAGUCGAACGGAAAGGCCCUGCUUGCAGGGUACUCGAGUGGCGAACGGGUGAGUAACACGUGGGUUAUCUGCCCUGCACUUCGGGAUAAGCCUGGGAAACUGGGUCUAAUACCGGAUAGGAGCCAUUUUUAGUGUGAUGGUUGGAAAGUUUUUUCGGUGUAGGAUGAGCUCGCGGCCUAUCAGCUUGUUGGUGGGGUAAUGGCCCACCAAGGCGGCGACGGGUAGCCGGCCUGAGAGGGUGGACAGCCACCUUGGGUCUGAGAUACGGCCCCGACGCCUACGGGAGGCAGCAGUGGGGAAUCUUGAUCAAUGGGCGCAAGCCUGAUGCAGAGACGCCGCGUGGGGGAUGACGGCCUUCGGGUUGUAAACUCCUUUCGCUAGGGACGAAGCUUUUUGUGACGGUACCUAGAUAAGAAGCACCGGCUAACUACGUG
rnacentral:rRNA from 1 species